rnacentral:rRNA from 1 species
AUUGAACGCUGGCGGCAUGCCUUACACAUGCAAGUCGAACGGUAAGGCCCUUCGGGGUACACGAGUGGCGAACGGGUGAGUAACACGUGGGUGAUCUGCCCUGCACUUCGGGAUAAGCCUGGGAAACUGGGUCUAAUACCGGAUAGGACCACUGCCUGCAUGGGUGGUGGUGGAAAGCUUUUGCGGUGUGGGAUGGGCCCGCGGCCUAUCAGCUUGUUGGUGGGGUGGUGGCCUACCAAGGCGACGACGGGUAGCCGGCCUGAGAGGGUGACCGGCCACACUGGGACUGAGAUACGGCCCAGACUCCUACGGGAGGCAGCAGUGGGGAAUAUUGCACAAUGGGCGCAAGCCUGAUGCAGCGAUGCCGCGUGAGGGAUGACGGCCUUCGGGUUGUAAACCUCUUUCAGCACCGACGAAGCGCAAGUGACGGUAGGUGCAGAAGAAGGACCGGCCAACUACGUGCCAGCCGCCGCCGUAACAC